rnacentral:tRNA from 1 species
GCCGGUGGUGUAAUGGCGUUGAGCGCUCCCGCCCGAUAAGCCGGAGGUGCGGGUUCGAGUCCCGCUCUUGGCG